rnacentral:rRNA from 1 species
GACGAACGCUGGCGGCGUGCUUAACACAUACAAGUCGAACGGAAAGGCCCCCUUGUGGGGUACUCGAGUGGCGAACGGGUGAGUAACACGUGAGUAACCUACCCUUGACUUUGGGAUAACUUCAGGAAACUGGGGCUAAUACCGGAUAGGAGCUCCUGCUGCAUGGUGGGGGUUGGAAAGUUUCGGCGGUUGGGGAUGGACUCGCGGCUUAUCAGCUUGUUGGUGGGGUAGUGGCUCACCAAGGCUUUGACGGGUAGCCGGCCUGAGAGGGUGACCGGCCACAUUGGGACUGAGAUACGGCCCAGACUCCUACGGGAGGCAGCAGUGGGGAAUAUUGCACAAUGGGCGGAAGCCUGAUGCAGCAACGCCGCGUGCGGGAUGACGGCCUUCGGGUUGUAAACCGCUUUCGCCUGUGACGAAGCGUGAGUGACGGUAAUGGGUAAAGAAGCACCGGCUAACUACGUG